rnacentral:rRNA from 1 species
CCUACGGGGAGCAGCAGUAGGGAAUAUUCCACAAUGAGCGAAAGCUUGAUGGAGCGACCCAGCGUGCACGAUGCAGGUCUUCGGAUUGUACAGUGCUGUUAUAAGGGACGACCAUUUGCAAUAGGAAAUGAUUGCAGCCUGACGGUACCUUGUCAGAAAGCGAUGGCUAACUAUGUGCCAGCAGCCGCGGUAAUACAUAGGUCGCAAGCGUUAUCCGGAAUUAUUGGGCGUAAAGCGUUCGUAGGCUGUUUGUGAAGUCUGGAGUUAAAUCCCGGGGCUCAACCCCGGCUCGUUUUGGAUACUAGCAAACUAGAGUGAGAUAGAGGUAAGCGGAAUUCCAUGUGAAGCGGUGAAAGGCGUAGAUAUAUGGAAGAACACCAAAGGCGAAGGCAGCUUACUGGGUCUAUACUGACGCUGAGGGACGAAAGCGUGGGGAGCAAACAGGAUUAGAUACCCGAGUAGUC